rnacentral:rRNA from 1 species
UACGUAGGGUGCAAGCGUUUGUCCGGAAUUAUUGGGCGUAAGGAGCUCGUAGGCGGUUUGUCGCGUCUGCUGUGAAAACCCGAGGCUCAACCUCGGGCCUGCAGUGGGUACGGGCAGACUAGAGUGCGGUAGGGGGAGAUUGGAAUUCCUGGUGUAGCGGUGGAAUGCGCAGAUAUCAGGAGGAACACCAAUGGCGAAGGCAGAUCUCUGGGCCGUAACUGACGCUGGAGGAGCGAAAGCUGGGGAGC